rnacentral:rRNA from 1 species
UACAGAGGGGGCAAGCGUUAUUCGGAAUUAUUGGGCGUAAAGGGCGCGUAGGCGGCUUGGCAAGUGGAUGGUGAAAUCCCUCGGCUUAACCGAGGAACUGCCGUCCAAACUGCUUCGCUUGAGACCGGGAGAGGUGAGUGGAAUUCCCAGUGUAGCGGUGAAAUGCGUAGAUAUUGGGAGGAACACCAGUGGCGAAGGCGGCUCACUGGACCGGUACUGACGCUGAUGCGCGAAAGUGUGGGGAUCAAACAGG